rnacentral:rRNA from 1 species
UGGGGAAUCUUGGACAAUGGGCGCAAGCCUGAUCCAGCCAUGCCGCGUGAGUGAUGAAGGCCUUAGGGUUGUAAAGCUCUUUUUGCCGGGGACGAUAAUGACGGUACCCGGAGAAUAAGUCCCGGCUAACUUCGUGCCAGCAGCCGCGGUAAUACGAAGGGGACUAGCGUUGUUCGGAAUCACUGGGCGUAAAGCGCACGUAGGCGGAUUUGUAAGUCAGGGGUGAAAUCCCGGGGCUCAACCUCGGAACUGCCUUUGAUACUGCGGAUCUCGAGUCCGAUAGAGGUGAGUGGAAUUCCUAGUGUAGAGGUGAAAUUCGUAGAUAUUAGGAAGAACACCGGUGGCGAAGGCGGCCCACUGGAUCGGUACUGACGCUGAGGUGCGAAAGCGUGGGGAGCAAACAGGAUUAGAUACCCCGGUAGUCCCAGCGGGCUGGCAAGGCGCAU